CCUACGGGUGGCAGCAGUGAGGAAUAUUGGUCAAUGGACGAGAGUCUGAACCAGCCAAGUAGCGUGAAGGAUGACUGCCCUAUGGGUUGUAAACUUCUUUUAUAUGGGAAUAAAACGUUCCACGUGUGGGCUUUUGUAUGUACCAUAUGAAUAAGGAUCGGCUAACUCCGUGCCAGCAGCCGCGGUAAUACGGAGGAUCCGAGCGUUAUCCGGAUUUAUUGGGUUUAAAGGGAGCGUAGGUGGAUUGUUAAGUCAGUUGUGAAAGUUUGCGGCUCAACCGUAAAAUUGCAGUUGAAACUGACAGUCUUGAGUACAGUAGAGGUGGGCGGAAUUCGUGGUGUAGCGGUGAAAUGCUUAGAUAUCACGAAGAACUCCGAUUGCGAAGGCAGCUCACUGGACUGCAACUGACACUGAGGCUCGAAAGUGUGGGUAUCAAACAGGAUUAGAUACCCUAGUAGUC
rnacentral:rRNA from 1 species